rnacentral:rRNA from 1 species
AUUGAACGCUGGCGGCAUGCUUUACACAUGCAAGUCGAACGGCAGCGCGGGCUUCGGCCUGGCGGCGAGUGGCGAACGGGUGAGUAAUGCAUCGGAACGUGCCCAGUAGUGGGGGAUAGCCCGGCGAAAGCCGGAUUAAUACCGCAUACGACCUGAGGGUGAAAGCGGGGGACCGAAAGGCCUCGCGCUAUUGGAGCGGCCGAUGUCGGAUUAGCUAGUUGGUGGGGUAAAGGCUUACCAAGGCGACGAUCCGUAGCUGGUCUGAGAGGACGACCAGCCACACUGGGACUGAGACACGGCCCAGACUCCUACGGGAGGCAGCAGUGGGGAAUUUUGGACAAUGGGGGAAACCCUGAUCCAGCCAUGCCGCGUGAGGGAAGAAGGCCUUCGGGUUGUAAACCGCUUUUGUUCGGGAAGAAAUCCUCUGGGCUAAUACCCCGGGGGGAUGACGGUACCGGAAGAAUAAGCACCGGCUAACUACGUG